rnacentral:rRNA from 1 species
GAUGAACGCUGGCGGCGUGCCUAAUACAUGCAAGUCGAGCGAACAGACGAGGAGCUUGCUCCUUUGACGUUAGCGGCGGACGGGUGAGUAACACGUAGGUAACCUACCUAUAAGACUGGGAUAACUUCGGGAAACCGGAGCUAAUACCGGAUAAUAUUUCGAACCGCAUGGUUCGAUAGUGAAAGAUGGCUUUGCUAUCACUUAUAGAUGGACCUGCGCCGUAUUAGCUAGUUGGUAAGGUAACGGCUUACCAAGGCAACGAUACGUAGCCGACCUGAGAGGGUGAUCGGCCACACUGGAACUGAGACACGGUCCAGACUCCUACGGGAGGCAGCAGUAGGGAAUCUUCCGCAAUGGGCGAAAGCCUGACGGAGCAACGCCGCGUGAGUGAUGAAGGUCUUCGGAUCGUAAAACUCUGUUAUUAGGGAAGAACAAACGUGUAAGUAACGGUGCACGUCUUGACGGUACCUAAUCAGAAAGCCACGGCUAACUACGU